rnacentral:lncRNA from 1 species
ACUAUCUAAUAUCUUGUGUGUGUGAUCAACUAUCCCAUAGCAUUAUCUAUAUUCUAGAGUCAGUUUACUGAAGUCCUAAGACAUCUAUGUUCCAGAUAAGUGGGGUUCCCCUGAACUUGUGAAAAUAUCCUCGAGAAAGCCAAUGCCAAUGCACUGAAUGCAACGAGUUUCAUUUCUAACCUGGGGGACUGAAUUAGCUGCUCCUCCUCAAGGCCCCACACAGCUGAGUUUGAGUCCUAAGUUUGGGAAACAAGACAAGGCACAGAAGUGCCUGCUAGACUGGGACACUUCCUGAUGUCUAGAUUGUCCGGUGCCCAUGUCUUAGUGAAAGGUACAGCGACAGAACUAAGAGUGCAGAGAAGGCCAAAUCGCGGACUUCAAUGUUGGCAAACCGGGUGUCCCUGGGAGAGAUCCAAGGAGGGCAACGCCCCCACAGUAUCAGGAGGCGCAGACACGGAUCACAUCGUUUGAGCUGAUUCACCAAAGAGUGCAGAGCCCCGACACAGGAGGCUACCAGGGCAGAACAAAACAAGCCAUCAUCUGCCCGGCGUCGCCCUUGUAGACGCACAGUGCGGAAACCGUGAAUGUGGGGCAGUGUGGGGCCAAGCGGUGCGCUUGGUACGCUCCAAAUGAGCCCUGGGCGAAGCAGGGAGGAAAUGCAGUUCCCAAGGGCCCGCCACAUUUCCCAUGUUCUUUAGCCUUCCAUCGGCAAUUAGUGCCAUCACUUGCUUCCCGCUAGGUGACCAUUUUACCUGCGGAAAGGCGUUCCAAGGGCGGGGCCUGCGGGAACCUAACAUUCUUCCCACCACCCUCUCUCCCUGCCUCUGUGCACGACCUCAACCAGCUGGUCGCCUGAUCUCGUUUAGCAGGGCAGGAGCCUGUGUUCCCAUUUCUUACUAGCUGGGCUGCCGAUGACCUAGCUCAGCCUUGGUUUUCCUCCGGUUGAACUAAAGCUGGCAAGAGCUGCCUCCCGGAUCGCAGUGAGGACUCUAAGGGAACGAGGGCGAGCGCGCUUUGGAAAGCCAGUUGCUGAGCAGAUAAGUCUGGAGAACUGACCCAAGAAGAAGGACCAACAAUUCAGGCUCAGGAAAGCCCACAACUCCACAGGGGAACCAGGACUGCAUGGCUUCGAAUCCCAGCCCUCCCCACUCAUCCCACUCCAGCUCCCAACCACACUCUGUGCAUGAGGCCCUUCCUCCAAUCCUACCCCUUCCUCCAAUCCCCAUCACUCACUUUGCCGCCGCCCCUGUCGAUUUUCCGGGCUCCUUGCAGAAACAUUGCUCCCCAAACGGCAUGGAUUUUUGGACGCCUCCACCUUAAGACAGCUACUUCAGCCAGAACGUGGGACAGGCACUAACAGGAUAUCACCCUUGGGGAUAAACACGCUCCAGUUUCCUGUGGACGGUGGAAGAGGAAAGAACAGGAGAAGCUGCCAAAGGGAUGGGGUGUAGGAAGCUCAUCCUUGCACGUUUCGACUAGGGAAGAAGAGAAUAUUAGGGAUGGGGAGGGGGGAGGAUGGGAAGUGUAGUUUUUCCCCUUCCUUCCUUUCAUUUCAGAUCCCAUUAGUGCUUUUAUUUCUUUAAUUUUGAAAACUAUUUCCCUUUCCUGAAUCUGGAUGCGGGCAGGGAGCGAACUCAAGGAAAUGAUGAGCAUGGAUGAGAGCCAGGGGACAGGAGAUAUGUCCUGGGAACUCAAACUCUGCUGCUUCGCCACUGUCUCCGAGAGAGAUGCCCUGAGCCUUAGCCCAAUGUAAAGGGAGCUGAUUGGGUGUAUGGGCAGUGGCGGGCGGUCUGAGUAAGAAAUAAAAUAAGGGAAAGCCAGAUCUACUCCCAUCCCAAAGCAUUAAAAGACACACCUCCCCACCCCUCAGCUGUCUUGUGUCCGGCAGAAUGGCAUUAUGUAAAAGAUCUGGCAUGUCACCCAGUGGCACAUCUGGUAGGUGUAGAUGGCAUUCAUUAGCACGGGGCUUCUACUCUGCAGCAUGCCAAAGCUCUGACAGAGAUGCCCGCUGCCAAUCAUUCAUUGGCUGCCAAUCCCCAAGCGCGGCCGGGCAGGAUGGCUUCCUUCCACCCUGGCAUCAGGAGUGGAGGAAACAAUGUGUUGAGAUAGAAGAGAUGAAAGUGAAGCUGAGGAUGCGAGGCACCCAACAGAUGUAUCCCGUGAGGAGAUAACGGUGCUAAAAGUCAUUUAGCAAGAAAGCAUAUGCAGGAUCUCAGGAGGGAGGCUUGGGCAGGGGGUCUGCUUGCCUAGGGCUGAGCUGAAGGAAAAGCAGGGGAGCCCUUUCAGAAACCUGAAAGUUGAGGUUGCUUCUCUAAAAACACACAAAGACCAAAACCUCAACCCCCUAAGUGUAGGAUUUCCCCCUCUCUUUGGUUUGUCACUUGUAUCUCUUUUUAUCUAGCAACCUAACUACCUCUGUAAAGGUCAACCUUUGUCAUGUUUUUUUCUGAGGACCAAGAUGAAGAGCACCCUCCUGUUUUAAAUUUUGCAUAAUUCUCAUAGACUAGAAAUUUGGGGGCUAAGGGGAGGAAGACUGUCAGGCUAUCUUCAGUGCAUCGUAAAAGGCAAAGGUCUUAUUUCCAUUAUUAGCUUUUCAGAGGGGAUAAAGAU